rnacentral:lncRNA from 1 species
AGGAGACACUCGCAGGAAAUGAGUUCCGAGCCAUCCUGUCCGAGUAUACAGAAAUCCCGUCCAGCAAUUCCAGCGAGAAGAAGCAACCCAAACCUGCAGCUGUGUAACGCAUUGGAGGUGUAGAUCGACUCAAUGGAUUAUUUUAUUGAUUCUUAUUGAGAUUUUGGAUUGUUAAGCAGUUCACCUUCUCAUUGUUAAUAUCGUCAUCUGGAAAGGACAGUCUUUCUUUAACAUUUCAGUAUCUCCACUGCUACCAGGGGGCACAGAAGUGCUCUAUUUUAUAUCAGAUUCUAUGUACAUGCUAGAGAAAUUUGCACUUUCGUGAUGAUGUAACCACGAAGAGGGGCUAUUGAUGACGACUCAUCGGACCAAAUGGAAUUAUUGAGUACUUUUAGAUUUUACACCAUCUGCUCACAGAGUAUGAUAAACCUGCGUCGUUUUUCCGAGAUGUGUGCAUAUGCAACCGCUUUCCUCGACGUCACUUAAUGAGGGCAUUAUUUCUUUUAAUUCUCCUUCCGUCCCAAGUCAAUUAUGACAUUAAUGUACAAUGCAACCAAUAUCAUCAUAGUCUGGUUUCUAACUUCUCACGGAUGAGACUUCAAUGAUCUUUCGUUAGGUUUAAGGAAUAAAAUGACGUUAGCAGAGACGUUUUUGCAGAUGAAAGGGAGUAUUCACAGGUCUCAUAGCGAAUAGUGUACCUCUCCAAGCCUGUACUAACAACUUGCAGGCAAUAUUCAUGGACAACAUGUUACAAAGUACCUACAAAAGCAAAUAUCAACUCAUUUUCGAGAAUUCUCCUGACUUCAUUCAUCGUGCGAUAGCAAUUAGCUAGGACACGUAUCUAGCUCUAACCACGUACGCCUCAUGAGGCGACGGUAGAGACGGACCGAGCAGAGGGCCCUUAUGCUCUAGGUAGUGUAACCGCAAUCUCAGGAUAUGACUACAACUUGUGUAAGUUCAUUGCGUACAGCAAAUCAGACUGUUUGCAAAAGAUAUCGUCAUAGACGCGGUUAAAGAAUACACAGGGCCCAAGCUCGGAAACCUGACACUGGAAGCAUCUUAGAGACACAGGGAAUAUUUCAUUACACUACCAACACAGACAAGACUUUCCCAUUCUUCUAGUCGUCUACAUCAUAAUUCGAAAAACUGAGACCCUAUGCGUGAAACAGACAGUCGCCUCGAGGGUCAUGCUAUUACCUAUAUAUCAUUGCUUCAUCUACAUUCUCUUCUCCUUUAGCUGAUGCACACACAGCGUAACCAAAGGUAAGUCGCAGGAGAAAAUUGGAAGACGCUUUAGGUCGUGUGCAUAUAAGGUAUUUUCACCAAGUUUGCCACAAUCUGGCACGUUGAGGUGCAUCAGCUAGGUCCUCCUGUCGAACUCGCGAAACCAAACAGAAGAUUAUCAAUCGUACUGAAAUCAAUCGACAAGGUCUAUUCAUACGGGCACAUUACAAACAGGAAAUUAACAACUCAGAGUUUGAAGAGAGAACGCUACAAAUCGAGUGACAGAAUCAGGAACCGACGCU